rnacentral:rRNA from 1 species
UACGUAGGGACCAAGCGUUGUUCGGAUUUACUGGGCGUAAAGGGCGCGUAGGCGGCGAAUCAAGUCAGCUGUGAAAUCUCCGAGCUUAACUCGGAACGGUCAGCUGAUACUGUUUUGCUAGAGUGCAGAAAGGGCAACCGGAAUUCUUGGUGUAGCGGUGAAAUGCGUAGAUAUCUGGAGGAACACCGGUGGCGAAGGCGGCAUCCUGGACCAAUUCUGACGCUGAGGAGCGAAAGCCAGGGGAGCAAACGGG